UGGGGGAUAUUGCACAAUGGGGGAAGCCCUGAUGCAGCGACGCCGCGUGGGUGAAGGAGCGUUUCGGCGCGUAAAGCCCUAUCGGCAGGGAAGAAGACGACGGUACCUGACCAAGAAGCCCCGGCUAACUACGUGCCAGCAGCCGCGGUAAUACGUAGGGGGCAAGCGUUAUCCGGAUUUACUGGGUGUAAAGGGGGCGCAGACGGCAAUGCAAGCCAGGAGUGAAAGCCCGGGGCCCAACCCCGGGACUGCUCUUGGAACUGCAUGGCUGGAGUACAGGAGGGGCAGGCGGAAUUCCUAGUGUAGCGGUGAAAUGCGUAGAUAUUAGGAGGAACACCAGUGGCGAAGGCGGCCACCUGCCACAUAACUGACGCUGAGGUGCGAAAGCGUGGGUAGCAAACAGGAUUAGAUACCC
rnacentral:rRNA from 1 species